rnacentral:rRNA from 1 species
CCUACGGGUGGCUGCAGUGGGGAAUUUUGGACAAUGGGGGCAACCCUGAUCCAGCAAUGCCGCGUGAGUGAAGAAGGCCCUCGGGUUGUAAAGCUCUUUUGUCAGGGAAGAAAAGGCUGCGGCUAAUAUCCGCGGCUCAUGACGGUACCUGAAGAAUAAGCACCGGCUAACUACGUGCCAGCAGCCGCGGUAAUACGUAGGGUGCAAGCGUUAAUCGGAAUUACUGGGCGUAAAGCGUGCGCAGGCGGUUUCGUAAGUCUGACGUGAAAUCCCCG